UUCCAGACUCCUACGGGAGGCAGCAGUGGGGAAUAUUGCGCAAUGGGCGAAAGCCUGACGCAGCGACGCCGCGUGAGGGAUGAAGGUCUUCGGAUCGUAAACCUCUGUCAGCAGGGAAGAACGGUCACUGUGCUAAUCAGCAGUGAAUUGACGGUACCUGACUAAGAAGCCCCGGCUAACUACGUGCCGGCAGCCGCGGUAAUACGUAGGGGGCAAGCGUUAUCCGGAUUUACUGGGUGUAAAGGGAGCGUAGACGGCAUAGCAAGUCUGAAGUGAAAGCCCGUGGCUCAACCGCGGAACUGCUUUGGAAACUGUUAAGCUGGAGUACUGGAGAGGCAAGCGGAAUUCCUAGUGUAGCGGUGAAAUGCGUAGAUAUUAGGAGGAACACCAGUGGCGAAGGCGGCUUGCUGGACAGAGACUGACGUUGAGGCUCGAAAGCGUGGGGAGCAAACAGGAUUAGAUACCCGGGUA
rnacentral:rRNA from 1 species